rnacentral:rRNA from 1 species
GACGAACGCUGGCGGCGUGCUUAACACAUGCAAGUCGAACGGAAAGGCCCUGCUUUUGUGGGGUGCUCGAGUGGCGAACGGGUGAGUAACACGUGAGUAACCUGCCCUUGACUUUGGGAUAACUUCAGGAAACUGGGGCUAAUACCGGAUAGGAGCUCCUGCUGCAUGGUGGGGGUUGGAAAGUUUCGGCGGUUGGGGAUGGACUCGCGGCUUAUCAGCUUGUUGGUGGGGUAGUGGCUUACGAAGGCUUUGACGGGUAGCCGGCCUGAGAGGGUGACCGGCCACAUUGGGCCUGCGAUACGGCCCAGACUCCUACGGGAGGCAGCAGUGGGGAAUGUUGCACAAUGGGCGGAAGCCUGAUGCAGCAACGCCGGGUGCGGGAUGACGGCCUUCGGGUUGUAAACCGCUUUCGCCUGUGACGAAGCGUGAGUGACGGUAAUGGGUAAAGAAGCACCGGCUAACUACGUG